CGCUUCGGCGCCGGUAAGGGUGAAAGGGUGCGGUAAGAGCGCACCGCGCGGGUGGCAACAUUCCGCGGCAUGGUAAACCCCACCUGGAGCAAGACCAAAUAGGGGAACAGGCUUUUGCCAGGCGCGGCCCGCGCGGGUUCCCGGGUAGGUUGCUCGAGGUCUGCGGCGACGCAGAUCCCAGAUGAAUGGUUGUCCAAGACAGAACCCGGCUUAUCGGCCGGCUCCCCGC
rnacentral:RNase_P_RNA from 1 species